rnacentral:lncRNA from 1 species
AGCCCCCGAUGGGGCGGCGGCAGCAGGACCCUCCUCCGGCGCCCUUCGUCGUCGUCCUCCUCCUCUUCCAGCUGCGGCUGCUGCUCCGCUGUCGUCCCGGCUCACAUCCUCCUCGCGCUGCGCCCCAAAGCCAAUCCGACGCCUCGCGAGGGCUCCUCCGCGGUGGCGCCCUCGUGCCACCAGCGCGCCGCGCGACCUUCGCCGGGCUCCCCCAGGGCCGCUCCGAGGCUUCGCCCGCCGCCGCCGCCGCCGCCGAUCAGGCCAUGGGGACGCCGCCGCCGCCGCCACGCCGCGUCCUCCUCCUCCUCCGGCUUCCCUCUAGCGUCGCGGGCAGCCGAGCGACGGGCACCAGCAUCCAAGGGGCGGCCGGCCGGGCCGGGAUGCGGCGAGGAGGCUCCCGGCCGGGGGGCUUCCAAGAGAGGGGGGCGAGCAGAGAGAAAAGUUAGGCCCGAGCGAGCGGCGGCGCCCCUCGAACCACUGCCACGGAGCCGCGCGCGAUCCUCGCGUCCCGGGGGGCAGGGACGGCGCUGCGCCUCUUCUUCCUCCGUCCGGCGCCUCCGAGGUGCCCCCGCGGGGAGGGAGGGGGGCGGCCGGGCAGCUCUCCGCCUUGCCUGCGCCGCCGCCUUCUUCCUCCAGGGGGACGGUCGCUGGCCGGCCCGCCCGCCCGCCCGGGGCGCCAGAAAACGGGGAAGGAAGGAACCUCACCGGCUGCUUGGGCGCCUCCUCCUCCUCCGUCCGCUUCUCGGGGCGGCGGCGGCGGCGGGCGGCGGCGGCGGGGGGGGGGGUAACGUGUCCUGCUUCUUCUUUCUUUGCGCCCCCACUUGGGUCCUUAGGAUAGGCGCGCCAGGAGGAGCCUCCGCCUCCUCCCCCUGCCGCGGGGUCCUCGGCUCCGCUCCGCAAGGCACCAACGGAAACGGCGCCGCGUCGACUUCCGACGGCCGAGGGGGAGCGAACGCGCGCAGCGCAGCAACGCUGCUCGCAGUCUCGCACGAGCCCGGCUGGACGCGGACGCGGCUGCGCUGCUGCCGCUGCUGCUGCGCGGGGGCGGCCCCUGCUCUGCCGAGCGCAAAAGCCACGAACCCGCCGCGCCGGGAAGAGGGGGGAAGGGAGGGGAAGAAGGUACGUCGCUCUUCUUAUCCCGGGCUGAUCCCGGAUCCACACGCGAUUUCCCUUCCGUUAGGAAAAACGGAAAGACACCUUUCGCUUUGCUUCUGGCUCGCUGCGCACUGGCCGUUGCGAUCCCGACGGACGGAUAGAGCUUUUUGCCAUUCGGCCCCGCCGCCGUCGCCAUCUACCUGCUGGGCAGCUGCGAAGGCAGGGAGCACCCGCUGA